rnacentral:rRNA from 1 species
UACGGAGGGGACUAGCGUUGUUCGGAAUUACUGGGCGUAAAGCGCACGUAGGCGGCAUUUGUAAGUCAGGGGUGAAAUCCCGGGGCUCAACCUCGGAACUGCCUUUGAUACUGCAAAUCUCGAGUCCGAAAGAGGUGAGUGGAAUUCCUAGUGUAGAGGUGAAAUUCGUGAGAUAUUCGGAGGAACACCAGUGGCGAAGGGCGGCUCACUGGUCCAUUACUGACGCUGAGGUGCGAAAGCGGUGGGGAGCAAACAGG